CAUCUCUUCCCCACGCCCACCUUAUCCAAUCAUCUCAGGAAAGGCAUGCCGCCGGCAGCGCUGGAACCGAUCUGGCGCGGUGGCUCCCGUUGACGCCGUGUGCCCCCGGAACCUCUCAUGCAUCCUCUCAGCCACACGGCCCACCAACACCAUGGCCCUCUCGUCACCAUCUCUUCCACCCCAUCCCCAUCUUCUCCGAUGCCGACCUCGGCAAGCAUGCCGGCGACACAUCUCCUGCCCCCUCCUCUGCGCAUUAGUCCCAGCGCCCAACAUCUCCACACCCCCUCCUCCUCGCCAUCUCCUCCACCCCCUGUCCCGUCUCCUGCCGCUGACCGCCGCCGGCUAUGUGUUGCUUCCUUGGCGGCGGCGUUUCCGCAUACUCCUCCUCCUCCUUCCCCACUGUCACUGAAGCGCCCCAUGUGGAGGUGCUAUGCUUGGCUAGGUCCUUCCCAAUCCUCAUCCCUCCCACCCGUGCCGCCUCCAAAAUUCAUUUUUUUUGUUACCCAGAGUUCAAUUCGUGCGUCCAGGUCGAACUCUCUAGAAGCCAGUCUUGCAGAGUUGCAGUCCAAUAUAAAUCAAAUGGGUAGGCAGAUGGGACUCAAGCUGCUUGCACUACACCUCAAGAGCCACACGCUCGUCACGCCAAUCUGGAGGUGAAUCUCCUUGCUUGUUUUUUGUUAAGCUACUUGGCUACCCGUUUUCCCAUGGGACUGGUAUACUACAGGCCGUUAUGUUUAAGUAGUGAUUGUCUGAUGCCCUUUUAGGUCAGAAGAUAGAUGAGGCGAGAUCUUCAGAGCCAAUAUUGUUUUUCACAUAUGUUCUAAGCAAACAACUAAAAGAAGGGCAUACUUAUGGUUGACAAAUGAUUCCAUGGCCUAUUUGUAGAUUCGUGGUGGUGUUGUAUGUACACAAAUUCAUGUUCCCUGUGCAUAUGUAGCAAAGUGUUCAGUCAAACACGUCUACUUCGUUCUUGUUUGUCCUGGAACCAUUUAUAAAUGUGUUCUCAAGCUAUAGUAUAUAUGUUUUUUCGAUAUAUUCAUUGCUGCCAUUUAUCUUCUCAUUUAAGUUUGGUGUGCCUAAUAUACUGGCACACAAUGAGCAAUGUUGAAUCCUUGGAAGAAAGGUAACAUAAUAUAUUAUUUUGUCUUCUACAGCUGUUCCAAGGAAAGGAGCAGUUCUAUUAACGAUGGAUAUGAUAAUAUGUAUUGGAAAAUGCUCGUCGUCCUGGUAAUUUCAGAGAUCUGGCAUCAGCACAAUCGUCUUAUCUUUCAAAUUUUGUAGUUAUCGGCUCCAACGCUCGCAUGUCUUGCAAUUGCGAAGCCAAUGUAAGGAGUCUGAUGCGCCCGCUGGCGUGCAUUCCUUCAGUGCCUCUCCUCUGGCAUCAACCUGAAUGACCACGGCAAUCGUUGAAUGUGAGGUGAUCAUUGCUUUCAAUUCAUUUUUGUGUUUAUACUGAAGUGAUUUGGUGUCUGUUUUGCAGGAUAGUUUAACUUGCGAGAAAAUACUAUUGCAUUUUCAAAAAACGAUUAUGCUUGAUCUUAUAAGCAAUAUUGCAUUUUAAAAAGUAUUUCUCACCAAGGAAGGUAAUUAUAAUAAGCAUAAGAAUCAGCAUGUGAUUGUUUUUAGGAUAACUGAAAUAUGCAAAAAAAAAAUUGCCAAAAGAUCCUGAUCUUACUAAGCACAGAGUUCUUGGCUUAAGUACCAGGCAGUAGGUGACUGGUUUUCAUGGCGUUACAGCCAAAUCUUGCUUUAUGUAAUGUAAGAAGAGGCUGAAAGUUUGUUCUAUUAAACAGCAAUCUAAUGAUAUAUUAUAUACAGCAAAGGUUGCCUGCAAGAAGCAUUGCCUUCUGUACGUUGAGCAUUUGUUUGUAUAUCUAAGCUCAAUAAAUUGCGUUUCACAAUGACAAUUCUGAUAUGUUGUUAGUCGUUCAGCUUAGCAAUUCCACAAGUUGUAGUUCCAGCCAAACAUCUAAAUACUGAGCUCAAAUUGCAGAAAAUACUGGGUGUUCAGUACUCGAUUUUGGACUAUAUGUUCACCUAUCUCUAGGGUUCCAUGAUCUCAUCUAAAGGAUCUUUUUUGCUAACACAUACCUUGAUGUUGACAUCGACAGCAGCAGAGAUAAUAUACGCCAUAUAAUCUUGUAAACAUAUGUGUAGAUCAGUACAAGUACUUUCAGUCUUCCUCCUUGUGAAUUAGUCUUUCAAGCUGUGGAUGGUCAGGAGUCGCUUGAGCCCUGCAAAGAUAAUGUUCAAGCUACAGCUUGAGUCAGAAUUUGUACGGAUACAUGAAAAUGUGAUGUAUGCCGAGAAAAGUGAGCAUCCACUUGCAGAAGAUUUGUGCCUGGAUGUGCUAAUUGACAGUGAAAUGUAGAAAUAAGUUGCAACUUUGUAAUAUCCAUCUGAUAUGUGAAACAAGAAUUGUUACUAAUUCACAACAUGUAUCUACGAUUGUGAGAUGGGACACCAUGUGCACAGGGGAGGCAACACAAGGUCGAGAGAAAAGCCCGUGUAGAAAGAGAUGCAACAUAUGGCCAUCAUUACAACUGUUAUAUUUUUGUAUAUGUUGUAAUUAUUCAUGCAAAGGUUACAGGCUUGAUGCACAAUUAUAAGUAUCUGGAGGAGUUGACGAAGCGUGGAGUUUUUUCUUGACAAUACAAAGAGUAUGAGUUAGGAGACGUUGAAGUGCAACUACAGAGCAAGCAUGACAGAGGUGAAGCUUUUACUGGAGAAAGUUGCGUAAAGUCUUUUUUAAGGAAAAGUUGUGUUUUCUUACAGCCGUGGAGUAGGAUCCAGAUAGGGAAGGGAAGGGGCUAGAGCAACAAUAGUGUCCUUACCCAUUAGACUUUAAUCUAUGUACCUUCUAAUCAUUUACCCGAUUACUGCGGAAAUAGAAGAUGAAAGAUGAGAUAUGAA